rnacentral:rRNA from 1 species
AUUGAACGCUGGCGGCAGGCUUGACACAUGCAAGUCGAGCGGAGUGAUGGUGCUUGCACUAUCACUUAGCGGCGGACGGGUGAGUAAUGCUUAGGAAUCUGCCAUUUAGUGGGGGACAACAUUCCGAAAGGAAUGCUAAUACCGCAUACGUCCUACGGGAGAAAGCAGGGGACCUUCGGGCCUUGCGCUAUCAGAUGAGCCUAGGUCGGAUUAGCUAGUUGGUGAGGUAAUGGCUCACCAAGGCGACGAUCCGUAACUGGUCUGAGAGGAUGAUCAGUCACACUGGAACUGAGACACGGUCCAGACUCCUACGGGAGGCAGCAGUGGGGAAUAUUGGACAAUGGGCGAAAGCCUGAUCCAGCCAUGCCGCGUGUGUGAAGAAGGUCUUCGGAUUGUAAAGCACUUUAAGUUGGGAGGAAGGGCAGUAAGUUAAUACCUUGCUGUUUUGACGUUACCGACAGAAUAAGCACCGGCUAACUUCGUGCCAGCCGCCGCCGUAACAC